rnacentral:rRNA from 1 species
GCAUAUCAAUAAGCGGAGGAAAAGAAACUAACAAGGAUUCCCCUAGUAACUGCGAGUGAAGCGGGAAGAGCUCAAAUUUAAAAUCUAAUAGUCUAUGACUGUUUGAGUUGUAAUCUAGAGAAGCACUAUCCGUGCUGGACCAUGUAUAAGUCUCCUGGAAUGGGGCGUCAUAGAGGGUGAGAAUCCCGUCUUUGACAUGGACUACCAGUGCAUUGUGAUGUGCUCUCAACGAGUCGAGUUGUUUGGGAAUGCAGCUCUAAAUGGGUGGUAAAUUCCAUCUAAAGCUAAAUAUUGGCGAGAGACCGAUAGCGAACAAGUACCGUGAGGGAAAGAUGAAAAGAACUUUGAAAAGAGAGUUAAACAGUACGUGAAAUUGUUGAAAGGGAAACGCUUAAAGUCAGUCACAUUGAUCAGGGAUCAACCUUGCUUUUGCUUGGUGUAUUUUCUGAUCAAUGGGUCAGCAUCAAUUUUAAUCAGUGGACAAAGGCCGAGGGAAUGUGGCAUCAUUUGAUGUGUUAUAGCCCUCUGUCAUAUACAUUGGUUGGGAUUGAGGAACUCACCAUGCCSCAAGGCCGGGUUUUAAACCACGUUCAUGCUUAGGAUGCUGG